rnacentral:lncRNA from 1 species
UCAGAUAAAUCAACACGUGGGGCAUCAUGCGUCUAACUUUGGAUCUUCUAGACAGCUGUCUAGUAGAAAUCAAGAGACAGACCCUUGAAAUCUCCUCGAGCAGUAUGCUGAUUUGGGGAUUAGACAUCCAUCAUGGGAUGUAAUCAUUUAUCCCCUAACCGUGUAAACUUGGAUAAUGUGCAUCAAUUAAUUCAUAACUUCUAAACUACCUCUAACACAGUUGUUUUGCAUGCAUCUAUUUGUGUAUAUAUACUUUUCACUUAUCG